AUAUCACUAACGUCACCCAUCAUGGACUUGGUCUACAUCCCAGCACAUUCUUUGUGUCACAUACAUUUUUAAUGAA